rfam:Nomascus leucogenys chromosome 8, whole genome shotgun sequence.
GGGAGGUGUGAUAUUGUGCUUCCUGGGAGGUGUGAUCCCGUGCUCCCCGGGAGGAGUGAUCCCGCGCUCACU